CACGUAGUUGGCCGAGGCUUAUUCCUCAGGUACCGUCAGAAUUCUUCCCAAGAAAAGAGGUUUACAACCCGAAGGCCUUCAUCCCUCACGCGGUGUCGCUGGGUCAAGCUUUCGCUCAUUGCCCAAGAUUCCU
rnacentral:rRNA from 1 species